UACGUAGGGUGCGAGCGUUAAUCGGAAUUACUGGGCGUAAAGCGUGCGCAGGCGGUCUGUUAAGACCGAUGUGAAAUCCCCGGGCUUAACCUGGGAACUGCAUUGGUGACUGGCAGGCUUUGAGUGUGGCAGAGGGAGGUAGAAUUCCACGUGUAGCAGUGAAAUGCGUAGAGAUGUGGAGGAAUACCGAUGCGAAGGCCAGCCUCCUGGGCCAACACUGACGCUCAUGCACGAAAGCGUGGGGAGCAAACAGG
rnacentral:rRNA from 1 species